rnacentral:other from 1 species
AGUUGCCUGCCUUGUUUGUGAAAAGAAUUGAAACUUUUUCCGACAAUCGAGAAUCUGGGAGCCAGCGUAAGGUAAGUGUUGUGCUGCCUGCGAGGGAUUUGCCUGAUCUUACUUUCAUGGCACCCACCUGUGUGUACAGGGAUUCAAGUUUUAUUCUGCACGGCAAGGUGGGUCUAAU